UACAGAGGAGCCAAGCGUUGUCCGGAUUGACUGGGCGUAAAGAGCGUGUAGGCGGCUCGAUAAGUCCGCUGUGAAAGUCCAGGGCUCAACCCUGGAAGGCCGGUGGAAACUGUCGGGCUAGAGUCCGGAAGAGGCGAGUGGAAUUCCCGGUGUAGCGGUGAAAUGCGCAGAUAUCGGGAGGAACACCAAUGGCGAAGGCAGCUCGCUGGGACGGUACUGACGCUGAGACGCGAAAGCGUGGGGAGCAAACAGG
rnacentral:rRNA from 1 species